rnacentral:miRNA from 1 species
AUGAGAGGUGCACUCUGAGCACAAGCAUUUCUGGCCGCAGAUGAGCUUGGCUGUCACAACUCAUUUUUCUUCAUUCUCAUCCCACCUAAG